GGCAAACGUAUCCGACGACGAGUAGUCUGCUGCUUUCCCGCGAAAAAACUUCACAGACUAAAAAUAAAAAAACAAACACGCCAGCCAGUAUCUAUCACUUGGCGCCAAGAUUGUUCCUAUUAAAAGUAAAUUGAAAAAGUUUAGUAAUAAUGGGUUUAGAUGUCUUGGAAGUGUGAACGAAAAAUGAAAACUUAUGGAAAACUUACGGUUAGAACUAUGUGUUAAUUUAGAGGUUGUAUGUGGAAUGGAUUUCUUUAGUAAAUAAGGGUGAAGUCAUCGUUCAUCUGUUUUCAAGGAUAGAAUGUGGUGGAACGCGUCAGCCGCUAAGUAAAAUAUGCCAAGGAGACAAGAGCCAGGAAUUGGAAUACCAGUACACAAUGCCUGCCAAGAAUGUAAUCUCAAAAUGGCUGCGGGCGAAACAGGGGAAACAUAAACACUCACCAUGGCGCUAGUGAGCAAAUAACCACAGGAAAAAUAUGAAUGCGACGGCUCCUGAUAUAUUGGUGGCAGAAGGCCAACUGGACAUAUCGUAUAGAGGACCAGAAUAUGCCUUGGAUCCCCCAAGCGCUACAUACAAUACCGUUCUCGAGUUCAACAUCACGUUCGAUAAUACAUCCGUGUAUAACGCCACGAACGAGUCGCUCGAUCUUUGGAACGACUACAUCAAACUCUUGCAAGAUCGCGCCUUAUUGGUCACCUUUUUGCUCCUUUUCUCAUUGACAACGGUAUUUGGAAAUAUGCUCGUCAUACUCGCCGUAGUACGUGAGCGAUAUCUGCAUACGUCAACUAAUUACUUCGUGACAUCGCUUGCCGUGGCUGAUUGUCUAGUCGGACUGGUAGUGAUGCCAUUCUCAGCGCUUUACGAAGUGUUAGAACACACGUGGUUCUUUGGAGUGGAUUGGUGUGAUGUGUGGCGGUCGUUGGAUGUACUUUUCAGUACAGCUUCAAUACUAAAUCUGUGUGUGAUUUCGCUAGACCGGUACUGGGCCAUUACGGACCCCAUAACAUAUCCGAUGCGAAUGAGCGGACGGAAAGCAGCUUUCCUUAUUGCCGCAGUAUGGGUGUGUUCCGGUGCUAUAUCCUUUCCCGCGAUCGCGUGGUGGAGGGCCGUAAGGUUAGAAGAAGUGCCAGAUUUUAAGUGUCCUUUCACGGAAAACUUGGAGUAUAUAAUAUUCUCAUCGACAAUAUCGUUUUAUUUGCCGCUGUUUGUGAUGGUGUUCACUUAUUACCGUAUUUAUCGUGCGGCGACGAUACAGACGCGGUCCUUAAAGAUUGGUACUAAACAAGUGAUGCGGCCAAGUGGGGAAUUAGAGUUAACUUUGCGUAUUCAUAGGGGUGGGACUGUAAGACAGCGUAGUGAUGCGUGUCAUGGAGUGUGUACUCCAGAGGAGGCGGACCAGGAGCCGCUGACAGCACUUCAAAACAAUGGACUGUCGCGGUCGUCAACUCGGCUGACGAAUGUGACACACGGCAAGCAUUUGCCUAAAAACUUUUCCUUAUCUCGUAAAUUAGCGAAGUUUGCGAAAGAGAAGAAGGCGGCAAAGACGCUGGGUAUAGUGAUGGGAGUAUUCAUAGUGUGCUGGUUGCCGUUUUUCGUGGUGAACUUAUUGUCGGGCAUCUGCUCGGCGUGCAUCGCGCACGAGGAAAUAGUCAACGUAGUGGUCACGUGGCUCGGCUGGGUCAACUCUUCCAUGAACCCGGUUAUCUACGCCUGCUGGAGUAGAGAUUUUAGAAGAGCCUUUUUAAGAAUCCUCUGCGUGUGUUGUCCUCGAAAACUGCGGAGAAAAUACCAGCCACAGCUCCGCUUCAAACAGUCCCAGUUCCGCUCGACCAGACGUUAUUACUCAUCCAGCGAACUAAUGGGCAUACAGCAAAUAAGACAAAACUCCUGCGAACAAACUUACAUUUAGCAAAUCAAUAGUCAAAUAACCACUUUGGUUUUCUUUCCAAUCUUCCAAGUGCCUUCGAUUCGUAUAUCUUCCAAAAGUUUACUUCUUAUGGAUAAAGAGGGUUUCUAGUUUGCGUUUUUGAGGAAGAUACUAUUUCCUUCAAUGUCCAUCAGUUUGGUUGUCACAAAUAAAUUAAGAGUACCCAGUCUCGACAAUGAUGUAUUCGUCGGUUUCGCAGCAUGAGAUGUGUCGCUUGUGACAUCAGGCCCGCGCGGGCCCUUGUCGGGGCCCACGGGCUCGCUGCUCCUGAUGCAGGGACCGCCGCUCCUUGCGCAGGCGCGGCGACAACUACCGCAUGAGGAACCUCGAACACACCUCCUUCGAAGAACCCAUACAGUGUGUUGACAGACAUUUGUGCCCCGACAACGUCCCCUACUGCCAAGACUCCGAGUCUGUCAGUGAGAUCAGCCUAGAAAGCGAAAGCCGAAACCCGUCUAUUAAACGGAAUAUGAGCAAGAAAAAAGUCACUUACCAAACCAAAGCAGAAGUGAUCUCAAAUUAGAAGUAGUUUAAAUUAAAAAUUGUUUUAAGUUUUAGUCUCAAGACUCGUGGCCAUUCGUCCAAUUGUAAAUCAAAGUUUCAUCACUCUAGUCCCUAGUGCAGUAUUGCGUUAGUGAACAUUAGAGCUUGUGACGAGAUUAAUUGACCUAUAUUUUCUUUGAUCAAUAUUGGGAUGAGUGUUCAAUUACAUUAAUAACUUCAAUUUAACGAACAUUUUCGAACAUCACAUGAUUGCUCUUAACUUUCCUUUAUCUGUAUAAUUUAGACUGAACUGAAUCUUAAAAGAAGGUUUAAAAAGAAGGUUUGUAUUUAAAUGGAUUUUUCAACUUUCCAAAAAAAGUACAGGUACCUUGUCGAAUAUCAAAUCAAUCAGCUUUGAUGUAGCAAUGCAUGAAGUCGUAUGGCCUGAGUCGUAAACAUGUGAAUAUUAUGAAACUUUCAAUCAGGAGCUGUGAUUUACUGAUUAACUUGUACAGUAAAUAUUUUCUAUCGCAUUGUAAUUUAUCAUUAUCAUCUCAAAUAAUUGAAUAUCUAAAUGUGUAUGGUGAAUGUAGUUAAUAUACUAAAUAAGUAUCUAACUGAUAGGUAUAUAGAUUUUUCAGUCUGUCCAGAUGUGUGGCUGGGACUCCUCAAAAGCAGAGAUAGGUUUCGAACCCAAUAAAAUAUAUGACGAAAUUCUAUUGGUUGUUUGAAAAGAGAGAGAUUUAGUGGAGAGCUUGGCUAUUAAAUAGAAUCAUAUUUCAACCAACUUUGAAUAAGAAGGAGAUUCUUAAGUCGAGUGUUCAGUUAAACAGUUACAUGUGUUUACUAGCUACUUACGACCUAGAGCUCCCCCACCAUUACAUUUUUUUUUAUUCCAUAUCUUUAGAAAUACGAAUCUGAUAUUUUUAUAUAUUCUGCAUGUAUGGGAGUAGAUACAUGUAGAAUUAUCACUGUGCUUAUGAAUAAGGGAAGUAAUACGCUUCAAAAUGUACCUAAAUAUAUAAUGAUUUCAAUCUAGCACAUAUAUGCAGCAAAUCAAUUUUAUAUAUUUUUUUAAGAUAUCAACUUGAUUUUUAAUGAAAAAUGAGUUAAAAUAAGAAUGAUUCUGUCUAAUUAAUAAAGAAAAAAAUUUUUUUUUCUAUAUAUUGGUUUGUAAAAGUCAAGUAUUUGUGUAAUAUGUAAAUUAGUAAAGUAACAAUCUUGUCGUAGAAGGAAGUGGUUUUAUUAGGCAUAAGACACUAAUCCCAUUAAAUUUUAUAAUGCUUUAACUAUUAAAAUUCACGUAACGGAUGUACUGUACGUUGUGAGCACACUACAAAAAAUCUUAUUAAAAAAAACUUUUUUCCAUCUAACAGAGGUUCUAAAUUGCAUAAUAUUUCCGAAAGUGAAAGUAAUUUUAAAAAUCUUUUAAAUUGUUGGACCUUUUUAAAUAUUGACCUAUUCGUUGUGGUGGUCUAAAUAAUCUUUCUAUCAGUAUUAGUUAUUUCAUACAAAAAAGGAAUAGUAAUGGUGCUCUUGUUGUUUAAUGUCUAAGAACUUUAUUUUACUUAAAUUACCUACUCAAAAUAUAGUGUUGUUUAUAAAGUUUACGUAGGAGCACUUGAUUGUAUGGGCAUUAUAACUCGUUCUAUAUUAAAUGUUGUUAUUUUAAAAUAUAAUAUUUAAUAAUUUUGCUCAAUUAUAUUAUUUUAUAUUCGUUUAAUCGAGUUGUUAUGAUUGUCUACAAAUAUUUUUUUAAUAAUUAUUAAUGUAAUUUCAUAAAGUUCAAAAUCUAAUAAGCAUUAAGGUAUUAAUUUCUCACCUAAUACUUGCAUAAUAUAAAAGAAGUUACCAUAUAUUAUCAUAUUCAUGUGUUUUUGUUUUUUAAUAAAAAGUGAUCGUUUUAUUGAUGUUGGAUAACUAUCCAUGUCACAUACUUAUAUGUACAAAUAGAAUUUAAUUCAUGGUUAUGUAAAAAUUAUGUAUAAAUGUUAGGCUUACUUCAAUUCCUCACAUUCCUAGGAAAUAUCGUGAUAUUCGAAGUAAUUUAUGAAUCUAGCACGGUCUCAAUUUAUACUGCAGGUGAAUAUAAAGUUAUUAUGACAGAUUUACUUUAUUCCAAAUUUCAUAAAAUCAGAAAUAUUAAAAUGGAAAAAUAAGUUUAUGUAUAUAUUGUAAUACGAACGAGUACUUAUGUUGCAAUAAAAAUAAAAAUGUAAUUUCGUCAGAAAAGUUGUAUAUUAAAAUAGUUUUUUAAUCUUAAUUAAAGAUUAAUAUAAUUAUUCGUUUGUCCAAAAAUGAGAAUUAAAAUAAGUCAUCAAAACAGUGCUUUUAGUAAAUAACACAUGUUGGCCAAAUCUACGAUUUUAUGAAUCCUUUUUUGCAAAAUAAGAACUAAGGUUUUUGCAAUUUCAGUUUUUGUUUUUGUUUUUGCUAAAUGACACAUUUGCGGAAUCAGUUGUUUACUAAUUCAUCAUUCGGUGAAACUUUUUUUAAAGGACUUUACAAGUACUGAUGCUUUUAGGUUAAAACUUAGUGAACCCUUCCUCAUACUUUAUUUAUCCCUGUGCAACAUCAUCAAAACCGGUGUGCCUGUCUUAUGUAUAAAUAUCUAAUGUAACAUGUAAAUAAUUAACAUAUUCAAAUAAAAAAAAAUACAUGUUAUCUUUUAUCAAACUGUAUAAUUAAUAUAUGUAUACUUCUUGCAAUAUAGUCUUAGUAGAGUAUGUACUUAUAUCAAGAUUGUGAAUACAAUAUGUAAAAUUGAUUUAAAAUGGGUUGUCGUAUGAAUUUAUAUAAAUAUUUUUUCUAAGAAAGAGUUUCAUUCCGUUAAAUGGAUCCUCUGGCUCCGGUAAAAGGAAAUCAUCGUUAUUAAUAUCACGCCUCAA